UUAUAGUUGCGCAGGCACUUUUUUGAACCUCGGGCAAAUCACACAUCCCCAUGGUGGCGACUUUGCAUGCGGAUGUCAUCCAUAUCAACUUUCGAUGCCAGUUUCUGCGCCUACCAUGGUGACCACGGGUAACGGGGAAUCAGGGUUCCAUUACGUACAGGGACCCUGGGAAACGGCUACCACAUGCAAGGAAGGCAGCAGGCGCGCAAAUGACCCACUCCUGACGCGGGAAGGUAGUGAUGA